rnacentral:rRNA from 1 species
AGCGUCUGGAAAGUCGCAGGGUACAGGGUGAUACUCCCGUACACUAAAACACACAGGCUGUGAACUCGAAGAGUAGGGCGGGACACGUGGUAUCCUGUCUGAAUAUGGGGGGACCAUCCUCCAAGGCUAAAUACUCCUGACUGACCGAUAGUGAACCAGUACCGUGAGGGAAAGGCGAAAAGAACCCCGGCGAGGGGAGUGAAAAAGAACCUGAAACCGUGUACGUACAAGCAGUAGGAGCCCCACCACCAAAGCGUUUCGCUUUGCGUGGUGCGCAAAAUGCGUAACGACAGCAUGAUGGACGGUUAACGGAGCGUCAGCGACGUUCAACCUCAAAAAUCAGGCAGUGGAGCGUUUUGGGGUGGGGUGACUGCGUACCUUUUGUAUAAUGGGUCAGCGACUUAUAUUCUGUAGCAAGGUUAACCGUAUAGGGGAGCCGCAGGGAAACCGAGUCUUAACUGGGCGUUAAGUUGCAGGGUAUAGACCCGAAACCCGGUGAUCUAGCCAUGGGCAGGUUGAAGGUUGGGUAACACUAACUGGAGGACCGAACCGACUAAUGUUGAAAAAUUAGCGGAUGACUUGUGGCUGGGGGUGAAAGGCCAAUCAAACCGGGAGAUAGCUGGUUCUCCCCGAAAGCUAUUUAGGUAGCGCCUCGUGAACUCAUCUUCGGGGGUAGAGCACUGUUUCGGCUAGGGGGUCAUCCCGACUUACCAACCCGAUGCAAACUACGAAUACCGAAGAAUGUUAUCACGGGAGACACACGGCGGGUGCUAACGUCCGUCGUGAAGAGGGAAACAACCCAGACCGCCAGCUAAGGUCCCAAAGUCAUGGUUAAGUGGGAAACGAUGUGGGAAGGCCCAGACAGCCAGGAUGUUGGCUUAGAAGCAGCCAUCAUUUAAAGAAAGCGUAAUAGCUCACUGGUCGAGUCGGCCUGCGCGGAAGAUGUAACGGGGCUAAACCAUGCACCGAAGCUGCGGCAGCGACACUAUGUGUUGUUGGGUAGGGGAGCGUUCUGUAAGCCGUUGAAGGUGGCCUGUGAGGGUUGCUGGAGGUAUCAGAAGUGCGAAUGCUGACAUAAGUAACGAUAAUGCGGGUGAAAAACCCGCACGCCGGAAGACCAAGGGUUCCUGUCCAACGUUAAUCGGGGCAGGGUGAGUCGACCCCUAAGGCGAGGCCGAAAGGCGUAGUCGAUGGGAAACAGGUUAAUAUUCCUGUACUUGGUGUUACUGCGAAGGGGGGACGGAGAAGGCUAUGUUGGCCGGGCGACGGUUGUCCCGGUUUAAGCAUGUAGGCGGAUG